CGGUUCCUUCACUCGACCCUCGCAAUUUAUUGCGCUCUCUCGCUCGCUCUCUCUCUCUCUCUCUCUUCCUUGUUUUCGCUCCGAUGGCACGGAUCACCUUCUUCUCGGCGGUGGCGCUCCUCCUCGUCCUCUCAGUGGCGGUAGUGUUGGCGCGGGAGAGCGAGAUGGUGCUGCCGCCCUCCCCGUCGCCGCUCCCAGGGGCGGCCGCGUUGAUGCCGGCAUCCGCCGCGGUCGUCGGAUGCUCUCUCCUCUUAGCGCUCAUCGCUCAUCUCCUCCUGUCUUACUGAUUCUUUCGAUCUGGUUGAGACUUUGGUCUUUGGAUUGUUUUUCUGAGUUUUUAACCUUUUGUUUUUUCCUCUUUUACAUGCACAGUGUGUGGUAUGGUGAUUCUUUUAAAAAUAUCAGGGUAAACAUUCUUUUGUAAUGAUUUGUAUUAAGAAUAAUUGGACUGGAUUCUCUGUAAUUUAUUUCGACUCUUUUGCUUCCAUGCAUUCACCUCCAGAGAAUGCUUCUUCACGUUCCCGCUAAUGUUGGAUAUGUAUGUAUCGUGGGGAAAUUCUCUGAGCACCGCAGGUAUCGCAGAAAAUUUGAUGCGG
rnacentral:lncRNA from 1 species